UAUAAAAAGGUCCAGAGUUCAGGUCACAGUCAGGUGUCUUAAUAGAACAGUACCUCCAACGUUGAUCCAUCGUUGACUUGAAGAGAGAGACCAAUCUAUACAAAAUGGCCAUUCUUAAGUUUGUGUUUAUGUUUUUGCUGGUUGCUCUAGUUUCAAUUAAUUUCGCACAAGGACAAAAUGAUACUGUCUCUACAACCACCGAUCCUUCGA
rnacentral:sRNA from 1 species